UUGCCUCACCGGGGAAAAAAAAAAUCUCUCCCUCUUUCUCUUCACUCAUGUAACAAACUGUCCUAAUUCAGGCUCUCCCUAACCAACAUCUUCCCUGGACUAUUGCAAUAACCUUCUUUGGUAACUGGUGUCCACAAAUCCAGUAUCUGUGCCUUUGUACAGCCUGAAGUACACUCCCUCCCCAUCCAGACCUCUUAGAAUGCUUGGCUCCCUUCGAAGCUCACCUCAGUCCUGAUUUCCUGAUUCCUAAUACCCCUCCCCUUUUGGACUCAGUGAUACCACUACUAAGCCUAUACCCCAAAGAGAUUUUUUAAAAAAGAGAAAGAGAAAGGAAAAUCCAAAAAUUUUGUAGCAGCUUUUUGUAUUGAGUAACAACUAGAAACUUGUUAGAGAAUACUGAACAAUUGUGGCAUGUGAAUGUAAUUUUGCUGUAGGAAAUGACUGAAAGGGACAGUUUCAGAAACACCUAGGAAGACUGAAUUGAACUGAUGUAGAGUGAAGUGAAUGAAGUGAUGCUAUAACAACACUGAAAAGACAGGAUUUUGAAAGGCAUGGUUUUUCAUUGGACCAAGCAAUAAUUCCAAAUGACCAUUAGUGAAAUAUGCUACCCACCUCCUGACAGAGAGGUGGUAGACUUAGGUUACAAAAUAAGACCUAUUUUUUGGACAUGGCCAAUAUAGGAAUUUGUUUUGCUUCACUGUGUUACAAGGUUUUGUUCUUUUUAAACUAAAUUUUUUUAAGUGCUAUGUAAGUGCAAGUUGUUACUAUUAGACAAUUAAUAAGGUCCCUUCCAGGCCAAGAUCCCAUGAUGUUAAAGUCUAAUACAGUGGAAAGCACACUGGCUUUGAGGUCAGAGGACCUGGGUUCAAAACACUCCUGAAAGGAGGACCGCCUGUGGGAACCUUGGGCAAGACACUUGAGCUCUCUCCCGGCCGCCCCAAAGACAUUUCUUCAUCCUAGGGGGCGGGGAACCUGCGGCCUCAGGCUACGUGUACGUCGAAGCCGCAGCUUCCCCACCCACUGUUCCUAACUAAGCGCCUGGGUAAGAUGGAUCCUUCCAACCCCAAAUUCAAAACCAGAUUCUAAGUACGCUCCUAUGAUCCUUCUGGCCCAACCUAUUCAAGGUUGUGUUGAAGAAAUAAAACAAAAUUCUCAAGCCCCGAAGUCAACCACGGUCUGAGGCCCGCCUGAAGAAGCCCCACCGAUGGACUGCACCGCUGAGGGAGGAAGCGGGAGGGGGCAGGGAGCGUGGACACGCGAAGGCUCGAACCCUCGAGCGGGCCUCUUCCAGGAGCCCGAGGGGAAAAGCCGUUGGCCUGCUGGGCGGCUGGCAGAGGAGCUUGGGGGCAGCCCCGGCUCUUCUCCUCCUCCGAUUCCUCCUCGUCCUCUUCCUCCUCAGAGGCUGUCCCUGCGACCCAGGGCCGGGGGAGCGGGAGGGAGAUCUCUGGGAGACGAGCGAGCCGCUGUUAAAAGGGGAAGGAGAGGAGACCCUCGCGCGGCCGACGAAAAUGGUGGGCCCCGCGAACGCUGACAGGCCCGGCGUCGCCCGAGGCUGAGCCUGGACCGGGAGCUGCACCCGCACCGAAUCAUCAAAACAUAACAAAAGCACUCCCAGGCCUUUGUCUCAUUCAACUUCUUUUGUGACCUUUGGUGAAUUAGAGUUCUGAAAAGACAACUUGCAUCAUCUGCCCCAUUAGAAGAGUUAAUUUCUGCUUGGUUCAUUCUAAUUUUCAAG